AGGAAUAUUGGUCAAUGGACGAGAGUCUGAACCAGCCAAGUAGCGUGCAGGAAGACGGCCCUAUGGGUUGUAAACUGCUUUUAUAAGGGAAUAAAGUUAGUCUCGUGAGACUUUUUGCAUGUACCUUAUGAAUAAGGACCGGCUAAUUCCGUGCCAGCAGCCGCGGUAAUACGGAAGGUCCGGGCGUUAUCCGGAUUUAUUGGGUUUAAAGGGAGCGUAGGCCGGAGAUUAAGCGUGUUGUGAAAUGUAGACGCUCAACGUCUGCACUGCAGCGCGAACUGGUUUCCUUGAGUACGCACAAAGUGGGCGGAAUUCGUGGUGUAGCGGUGAAAUGCUUAGAUAUCACGAAGAACUCCGAUUGCGAAGGCAGCUCACUGGAGCGCAACUGACGCUGAAGCUCGAAAGUGCGGGUAUCGAACAGGAUUAGAUACCCUGGUAGUCCGCACGGUAAACGAUGGAUGCCCGCUGUUGGUCUGAAUAGGUCAGCGGCCAAGCGAAAGCAUUAAGCAUCCCACCUGGGGAGUACGCCGGCAACGGUGAAACUCAAAGGAAUUGACGGGGGCCCGCACAAGCGGAGGAACAUGUGGUUUAAUUCGAUGAUACGCGAGGAACCUUACCCGGGCUUGAAUUGCAGAGGAAGGAUUUGGAGACAAUGACGCCCUUCGGGGCCUCUGUGAAGGUGCUGCAUGGUUGUCGUCAGCUCGUGCCGUGAGGUGUCGGCUUAAGUGCCAUAACGAGCGCAACCCCUCUCCUUAGUUGCCAUCAGGUCAUGCUGGGCACUCUGGGGACACUGCCACCGUAAGGUGUGAGGAAGGUGGGGAUGACGUCAAAUCAGCACGGCCCUUACGUCCGGGGCUACACACGUGUUACAAUGGCAGGUACAGAGAGACGGUCCCUUGCAAAAUGGAUCAAAUCCUUAAAGCCUGUCUCAGUUCGGACUGGGGUCUGCAACCCGACCCCACGAAGCUGGAUUCGCUAGUAAUCGCGGAUCAGCAUGCCGCGGUGAAUACGUUCCCG
rnacentral:rRNA from 1 species